rnacentral:rRNA from 2 species
GAGUAAUGUCUGGGAAACUGCCUGAUGGAGGGGGAUAACUACUGGAAACGGUGGCUAAUACCGCAUAACGUCGCAAGACCAAAGAGGGGGACCUUCGGGCCUCUUGCCAUCAGAUGUGCCCAGAUGGGAUUAGCUUGUUGGUGAGGUAACGGCUCACCAAGGCGACGAUCCCUAGCUGGUCUGAGAGGAUGACCAGCCACACUGGAACUGAGACACGGUCCAGACUCCUACGGGAGGCAGCAGUGGGGAAUAUUGCACAAUGGGCGCAAGCCUGAUGCAGCCAUGCCGCGUGUAUGAAGAAGGCCUUCGGGUUGUAAAGUACUUUCAGCGGGGAGGAAGGUGUUGUGGUUAAUAACCGCAGCAAUUGACGUUACCCGCAGAAGAAGCACCGGCUAACUCCGUGCCAGCAGCCGCGGUAAUACGGAGGGUGCAAGCGUUAAUCGGAAUUACUGGGCGUAAAGCGCACGCAGGCGGUCUGUCAAGUCGGAUGUGAAAUCCCCGGGCUCAACCUGGGAACUGCAUUCGAAACUGGCAGGCUUGAGUCUUGUAGAGGGGGGUAGAAUUCCAGGUGUAGCGGUGAAAUGCGUAGAGAUCUGGAGGAAUACCGGUGGCGAAGGCGGCCCCCUGGACAAAGACUGACGCUCAGGUGCGAAAGCGUGGGGAGCAAACAGGAUUAGAUACCCUGGUAGUCCACGCCGUAAACGAUGUCUACUUGGAGGUUGUGCCCUUGAGGCGUGGCUUCCGGAGCUAACGCGUUAAGUAGACCGCCUGGGGAGUACGGCCGCAAGGUUAAAACUCAAAUGAAUUGACGGGGGCCCGCACAAGCGGUGGAGCAUGUGGUUUAAUUCGAUGCAACGCGAAGAACCUUACCUGGUCUUGACAUCCACAGAACUUUCCAGAGAUGGAUUGGUGCCUUCGGGAACUGUGAGACAGGUGCUGCAUGGCUGUCGUCAGCUCGUGUUGUGAAAUGUUGGGUUAAGUCCCGCAACGAGCGCAACCCUUAUCCUUUGUUGCC